rnacentral:rRNA from 1 species
GCGACCCCAGGACGGGCGAGGCCACCCGCCGAUUUAAGCAUAUCAAUAAGCGGAGGAGAGAACUUACGAGAUCCCCUAGUACGC